CACCGAUAAGGGCAAACCUCGUGUGAGCGAGGGGCGCAAAGCCUACGGAAGUCAGUUCUUAAGCUGACUUGGCCGGGUUGCCGAA
rnacentral:ncRNA from 1 species